AUGGUCCUUCUGCAUUUUACUGUUAAAAAUGAUUUAUAUGUAUACUCAUGGUGAUUGAUAAUUAUAAAGCAUUAGGAUAUUGCGAUAUGUAAUGCAAUCAUAAAUAUUUUAGGAGAGGAAAGGUGGUUUAAAACCAUACCUGAUCUCUCUCUAAUCUAAAACAUUAUUUUAAGUAUUAAACAUUUUUGGUCCUAGAACUAACCAAGAUUAAUAGUACCUAGAAUAAACCAUAUUAAUGGUGGUGUUGUUGUUCUUUUUGCAGCUUUUUGUUUAAAAAAAAAAAGAAAGAAUUUGUACAUUUUGUUUCAUAGAACAGGAUCUAAAUCAAGGAUUGGAAUGACAAGGGGGUAAAAGAACGAGAAUGGACAUGACUCUGCGUUUCCCAGACCUAUUAUAGAAAUAAACGUGGAGUUGCAGGAUGGAUGCGAAAUUUCCCAAACAAGUGAGCCUAAUGAAGAUGGAUUUAUCCAAUCUAUUCCCUGACACCAGAACCAGAGCAAGCCAACCCAUCCCCUGUGUGGUGUCAUAGUCUUCUUCUGCUCCUCCAUUGCUCUUCUGUUCCUUCUCUCUACAUUUCCCUCCCCCCGAUGGAUCAGGUCGCCCCGGUGCACAACCAGACCAAAAAGCAAAAAGGGCAAGAAAUUUGUCACCUUCCCCAACAAGACCCUCAACAGACAAAAGAACAACGGCAUUAAUCAUCUCACAUUUCAAUAUUGUAUUACCCUUUCUGGUUAAAAUCAAGGGGGUCAUUAAACUGGUGAAAGGAGACGGAGGUGCUGAUCAAUAGAACAAGCCUCAAACAGAACCUUGAGCUUUACUGCUGUCUGCAGAUUCACAGCUGAUGUCAGUCAGUAUGAUAGGAGAUGGCCUUAACUAAUUACCUCUACGUGAAGGGCAUGAAGCGGCGUUCGGUGCACUUAAUCAGCAGGCAAUGAAUAUAUAUAAUGAAUUCGUGAUGAGAGCCACUAGUUUGAGGUUUUUUCUCUGUAUUGUUGUAAAAACAUAUGUCGAGUUCGAGAUGUCAUCACAGAAAUUAUUUUGACAAGGGUAGAGUUUGAGAAUGUGCCUUCCAAAGAUUUUCGCAUUCUGUUUUUGGUACGAGGAACAGGGAAAGUUUUUCUUCAAGGAUGACUAAUAAGGAGCGACAGACGAAAAGUGAGAGAUACCUCAGUCGUUUCUCUUUGCUUUUUCAAGCCUCUCCUGGCCAUUCACCCGUGUCUUCAUCAUUCAUCAUGAUGCAAUCACGGUGUCUGUUUAGCAGGUCGUUUAACUACCAAAACAUGCCAAUUUAGCCUGUUUGUGUGUCCACAGACAUCUUCAAACGCUGUUUCGACAUGGUCAGUCAUCGUGGUGCUUUACUGUAGCUUGGCGAUUGUCAGAGUUCAAUUCUGAGACUAUGCAGGACUUAACAAAACAAAGUGAUUCAAGAGUUUAGUUUUUGAAUGAAUUGGUUGUUGCUUUUUGAUAAAACAAACUCUCAUACCUUAAAAGGAAGACAACUCUCAUUGUUAACUCACCCUCAUGCUGUCCCAGAUGUACUGUAUAUGACUUGCUUUUUUCAGAUUAACUUUUUUUUUUUUCAUUAUUCCAUCUCUGUGAGUAAAGUGUACGGCACCUCCAAAGUUGACUCUUCAAGAAUCACACAAAGUGAACACGACAGCGAUCCAUACGAGCCCAGUUGAUGAAUCAAUGUCUUCUGAAGCGAAACGAUAGGUGUGUGUGAGAUAAUACUAAGAUUUUACACUUUAAAUAAACCAUUGCUUUUGGCCAACUAAUACAUGGGUUCAUGAGUUGAACUUGCACUAGUUUCACAAACACACCUCACGCUUCACAACAUGCUGACGUUUGCCUCAGCGAAUGCAUGUACUUGAGGCUAGGCAAUAUUAUUCCUCAAUAAAACGAU